AGGGAAAGAAUAAAACGUUGGUCUAAGCGCACUAUCAGUCAGCCUUAAUCAGCUUACAAGUGGAUAUUUUCCAUAUAUAUAAUAAGACUAUAUUGUCAGUUAGAUCAAGAAAAAGCCGAAAACAUCAUGAGAUUAUCUUGUCAGGUUCCUAAACUUCAGCAUAGAAGACAGAUGGCAUUUUGAUACAUCAGUAUAUAACACUUUCUUAUAAGUUUUUUUAUAUGAAAAAUGUAUAACUGUGUACACAUUA